AAACUUUUGAACUUUAGGAUUAUAUGAAUCUGGUGGAAUAGUUUCAGGAAAUCCCCAGUUGUUACUGGUUCUUGCAGCCGCUCUUGAGAAGUCUAUUCAAAAGAGUGCAAGGUUUUUAGAUGGAUCAAGAAAGAAAGAUGUUGUGACAGUGUUCCAUGGAUCACGAUCACCUUCCUUGAGCAUUACACAAUACAUUGAACGCAACUUUAAGAACUGCAAGCGCAGCACCUGUUGCUUAUUGAGAGAUUUCUUCAUCAGAUGGAUGCAUAUCUAACUUACCUCAACUUGUACCGUCUUUUCAUAACAAGUAUCAUGGUAGCUGCAGAAUUUUCGGAUGAUGUGUAAGUACUUGCCAUCAUUAAAUCCAGAAAAAAUAAUCAAAUCUAG
rnacentral:misc_RNA from 1 species